rnacentral:rRNA from 1 species
UACGGGGGGGCAAGCGUUGUUCGGAAUUUCUGGGCGUAAAGGGCUCGUAGGCGGCCCACUAAGUCAGACGUGAAAUCCCUCGGCUUAACUGGGGAACUGCGUCCGAUACUGGAUGGCUUGAGUUUGGGAGAGGGAUGCGGAAUUCCAGGUGUAGCGGUGAAAUGCGUAGAUAUCUGGAGGAACACCGGUGGCGAAGGCGGCAUCCUGGACCAACACUGACACUGAGGAGCGAAAGCCAGGGGAGCAAACGGG